AGCAGCCGCGGUAAUUCCAGCUCCAAUAGCGUAUAUUAAAGUUGUUGCAGUUAAAAAGCUCGUAGUUGAAUUUCGGGACCAAUAUGUCGGUCGUGCUUCGGUACGUACUUGCAUUAUUGGUUUCUCCCUUCUGAAGAACCAUGAUGUCAUUAAUUUGGUGUCUUGGGGAAUCAGGACUGUUACUUUGAAAAAAUUAGAGUAGUUUAAAGCAGGCUCACGCUUGAAUACAUUAGCAUGGAAUAAUGAAAUAGGACGUUUGAUUCUAUUUUGUUGGUUUCUAGGAUCGACGUAAUGAUUAAUAGGGAUAGUUGGGGGCAUUAGUAUUCAAUUGUCAGAGGUGAAAUUCUUGGAUUUAUUGAAGACUAACUACUGCGAAAGCAUUUGCCAAGGAUGUUUUCAUUAAUCGAGAACGAAAGUUAGGGGAUCGAAGACGAUCAGAUACCGUCGUAG
rnacentral:rRNA from 1 species